CGAGAGUCUCCCAAGAGGCUGCAGAACGUCAGAACAUCUCUGGAGCACUAUUCAGUGAGCAACAGGAGAGUUAAAGAUUUGUCCACCAGUGAGAACACGUGUGCAUUACAGUGGAGGAGCUUCUGAACGCCUUGCUUUACUCAGGGAUUCCAGAGUCCCAGCAGGGGCCGGAGGAAGAAGAACAGACUCCUAGAGAGGAAGAAACUUUGACCUCAAAAAUGAAGAAACAGAGGACCAAAAGGAAGCUCUUGACCAAGAUUCUUAGGCAGAUGGAGACAGGGUUGGGUUUAGCAUUGGUCACACAGCAGAUGGAGACAGGGCUGGGUCUAGUGUUGGUCACACAGCAGAUAGUCAGGUUGCCUGACCCGAAUUCCUGAGUUCUUCCCCCACACCAGCAACCUGGAACUUCUAGAAAAAGCCCAUGAACACGCAAAUGAACACAACAGUGAGAAACCUCUCUUGGCAAAACAUUAUAAGCUGGCUGAGACCUAGGAUUGACUAGGAUGUUAGGAAAAGGAUAGUCUCAUAUAUCCUACCGGUAGGAAGUUGGUUCAGCCACCAUGGAGAGCGACUUGCAGUAUCUGUAGUAUCUGUUAAAUUUUAAAAUGCACACACCCCGCCAGGAGCAGUGGUUCAGGCCUGUAAUCCCAGCACUUUGGGAGGCCAAGGCAGGC
rnacentral:lncRNA from 1 species